ACGCUCGACACCUACAGGAGGCAGCAGUGGGGAAUAUUGCACAAUGGGGGAAACCCUGAUGCAGCGACGCCGCGUGGAGGAAGAAGGUCUUCGGAUUGUAAACUCCUGUUGUUGGGGAAAAAGAGGAUGGUACCCCAACAAGGAAGUGACGGCUAACUACGUGCCAGUAGCCGCGGUAAUCUGAGCGGGCUGGCAAGGC
rnacentral:rRNA from 1 species